rnacentral:lncRNA from 1 species
CUCGAGCUAUCAAAAACCCAUGUGCUAAGCUUGCAUGAAUGAUCUCUGCUAUCUGUACCUGGGCGCACUCCACGACAAACCUUGGAGACGGACUGCUUUCGCCAAAAGUCCGUGCGUUCCUUACCAACCAUAUCUGUCCAGCUGUGUAGGUCGCUCUAGUGGCCACCCGACGCAUCUAGGGGCGUCGGAUCAUCGACGGAUCGCUUGUAGGAAAGGCCUCAUCCGGCUCUAGGGAUUCUGCGGGACCUUGGUGAGCCUCCAAACCCCUCUAGCCCACACAUACUGGAACAGGACAUGAGCCACCGUCUCGUCCACUCGGUAGUCCGGACACUAGAAUUGAAUGCUCAGUCCUUUUCUACUCAGCACUAAUCUCGGUGGCAGGCACUCCCAAACCACCUUCCACAGAAAAUAAUGCUAUCCUCAGGUAGAGUUAGAAGCUCUAGAUCCAAGCACAAAUCCAUCCCCGGCAUGUGCUCAUGUUGGAGGGCUCGGAAGACAUCUCCCAUCCUAAACACUGGCUCUGCAUGACGUGCUCCAGACCCUCACAUCCAGGCCAGCACACACUGAAAUCAGAAGCGAUCGAACACGCUUUGCAAUCUACUUUCCAAAUAGCUGACCAAUCUUGCCGACGUCCUACUCCGCCCCCUUUGGGCUAAGAAGAUCGUAGACUCGGAGUCCGUCUACUGUCUCGACGUUGAUCAUAUUUAGCCAGAGUCUCAAAGGAAGCGAGUCCACCUACGGGUCCACCACAUCCACGCUCUGCCCAUCGCC